AGAAUGUUAUUUCCAUUUUUGAGUGACACACGACUUAUGUUUUUACACUGAGUGUUUUCAUCUUUGACAACUCAUGUAAUGUUUUCAAUAACCCUGAUAAAGUAGCUAGUGACAUGUUGUUAUGAAUUGAAUUGCAUCCCCUUCAACAAAGACAUAUUGAAGUCUUAACCCCCAGUACUUCAGCAAUUGACCUUAUUUGGAACCUGUGUCAUUACAGCUGUAGUUAGUUGAGACCAUACUUAGUCCAAUAUGACUGGCAUCCUUAUAAGAUGUCCAUAUGAAGACAGAAACACCCAGAGAGAAUGCCAUGUGACAAUGAAGGCUGAGAUUGAAGUUGUGCAGCUGCAAUCCAAGAAACACUGAACACUGCCAUCAAAUCACCAGAAACUAAGGAGAAAAAAGGAAGGAUUUUCCCUACAGGUUUAAGAGAGAGCAUGGCCCAACUGCUACCUUUGUUUCAGACUUGUAGUCUCUGGAACUAUGAGACAAAAAAAAAUUUUUUUUUUUGAGACGGAGUUUCGCUCUUGUUACCCAGGCUGGAGUGCAAUGGCGCGAUCUCGGCUCACUGCAAUCUCCGCCUCCUGGGCUCAGGCAAUUCUCCUGCCUCAGCCUCCUGAGUAGCUGGGAUUACAGGCACGUGCCACCGUGCCCAGCUAAUUUUUUGUAUUUUCAGUAGAGACGGGGUUUCACCAUGUUAACCAGGAUGGUCUCCAUCUCUUGACCUCGUGAUCCACCCGCCUCGGCCUCCCAAAGUGCUGGGAUUACAGGCGUGAGACACCGCGCCAGGCCUGAAGAUUAUAUUUUUUAUUUCACCAUCUAGCAGCUUCAAUGGCCACAAAUCUUUUUCCAGAUUUGUCUGAAAUAUUCAGACUUUUUAUACUGAUGAAAGUUCCUUUGACAUACAGUCUUUGGCCAAGCUAUAACAAAUCAACUAAAGUGUGAUUUUUAUAUCCUACUGUCGCCAAGACAGCAUGCUGCUGGUUACACAGCACAGGAUGCUAACCAUUCUACAUACAAUUGUCUGGGCACAGGCCAGGACAACUGACAAUUCCUGUCUCUAGUUAAAUGCUAAGCUGCUUCUAGGUCACAGGAGGUCAGAGGACGUUCCCAAAGGACUUUCCUGUUUAGACUUAUUGGAGAAUAUCAGACUAGCUCCAACUCCAGUUUAGGAGUUUAGCUGGUAUCUCCGAAGUCUCAUGUAUAUUCAAAAUGUUUGGGCACUGCUCUUGCACCAAUAGAUGAAGGUCUAGCUCCACCUCUUACUUCCUCUAGAAAACUUUCCACCAGCACAGCAGGCCUCAUUCAACUGAUUUCUUCUGAGAUUAUAUAAUACUAUGUGUCAAUAUUACUCAUUCAGUACUUAAUCCUGUAACAUUCAGCAACACCUUUUUUCAGUUAUUUUAUAUUCAAGAACUUUUUGUGCCCUUCUCCUAACUACAUAAUAAAAACUUUCAAAUCAAAGACCAUAUUGUUCUAUUUCUCAUCAUACUUACUAAGUACCUGAUUGUCUAGCAUAACACAUACAUUUAUUGACUGAGUGAGUGUAUGUUGCAGUAAGAGAUAACAUAAGAAAAACGCUCCACAGAAUAACACAAUAUCAUGCAGACAAAGAACUAAGAAAAACUCAAAAACAAUAAACAAUAAGCUACUACAUAUCUAAUCAGUUACUGUGCUAGGCAGGGAUACAGUGGUGUGCAAAAGUGAGCAAGGCCUCUGCUUCUGAGGAACUUAAAAUCCAAUGACAAAAAAAUAUAAUGAAUAAACAAUCAUGAGUAAAAUGUAGAAAUUAAAACUGUGAUAAGUGCUAUGAGGGAAAGGAAUCUGUACUUUAUGUUGUACAGUGGGACCUAACCUAACCUGUGGGUGAGGAGUGACUUUCCUGAGCAAGUACCAUUUGAUUUGACUCCUGCAGUAUGAGAAGAAGAUAAUUGGGUUUAGAUAAGGUGUUCACAUGCAAAUGUAAAGUUGUCACUGGAACCAAAGAGCAAGGUCGAUGAUGGUAGAAAAUAAAGCUGAGAAAAAGGUGUGACAGAGAGAGCUAACUGUCCAUCAAAAUCUGUUUUCAUUUUCAGAGUAAUAGCAUGUAGCUGCCCAUCCAGAGACUACAUUUCCCAGUCUCCUUUGCAUCCAAUGUGGCCAUGUGACUAGCUUCUCUCCAAAGAAAUGUGAGUAUAAGUGAUGUCCCCACAAUCUAGAGAGGAUUUCAAGGCAUCGGGUAUGGUUCCUCCACAGGCUCAUUCUCCAUUCUGUGAGCUUUAAUGGUGAGAGCAGUGUGAUGCUGGAAGCUGUUGUAAUCAAAAAGGUUGCACCACUCUCAGCCUGGGAUGCUCAAUGACAUCAUACACAUGAUCCUCUGCCAACCUGGAGGCCUUGUCCUGGAUUGUUACAUUAGAGAGGCAUAAACUUUCAUCUUUAAAUCACUGAAUUUUGGAGAGGUUUUUGCUUAAUUUGCUUAUCCUAAAUAAUGCUAGGGAGUUUGGCCUUUGUGCAAAAAAAAAAAAAAGAGAGAAAUCACUUAAAGAUUUUAAAGUGAGAGAUAUGUGAU
rnacentral:lncRNA from 1 species